ensembl:lincRNA Tmem61 transmembrane protein 61
AGAAGGCAGUGUCUCCAGGGAAGGAGCACUCCAAGCUGGUCCUCUGACUGGAUAAUGCUGUCCUGGAGUGUGGUGAGAGUAAGGGGGUGGGCUGCUCUCUGGCCCAUGAUAAAGCUGUUCCUGUCAACGUAGGGUGCUAGAAACAAUUGGAUGAGUGGCUUUCCCUUUUUGAGCCUCAGUUUCUCUUUCCUAUGGAACAGAUGUGUGAGGCCUCCCACAGUUCACCUAGCCUGGAUGUCUGUGGGAAAGGAGUUUCCAGGCCCAAGUUCCAUCUGCGCAGUUUCCCUCUCUCUGGGAAAUUGCAUCCCCCCACCUCAGUAGACGAUCCCUUUAAGGUUGGGCGGGGCCAGCUGGACACUGGCCAGUGAGGAAGCACUGAAGCGGGCCACUAGAGUCCUUGAGGUAGUUAGUGGCUAUCCAAGGACUAGGAGACCGAGGGUGGGUGGCUUCCCAGUGGAAUCCCCAGCUGCUGGGCGGGGUGACAAGGAGGGGAGGAACAACCUCACUGAGCCCUGGGCUCAACCUUACUGUGGACGAAAGCAGGGACCUCAAGGAGCCGUGAAGUGCAAAGGGUGCAGCUGUGGAAAGCUGCCAGAACCUCUCUAGAUGGUCGCGUCUGCAGAGCUCAGCCACCAGGCCUUCUAGUGCGCUGGGCUCUCCCCUAGUCCAGACUGAUGGUUGCAUGCCAGACAUGCGCCAGAGGCCGGGUGGCCUCCACUGUGCGUUACUGCAUGACGGUCGGUGGCUCAGUGGUCCUGGUGGUUGGGACACUCUGCUUCGCGUCGUGGAGCGAAGGCAGUGUUGCCGUCCAGCCUGGCUCGCUGCCCGCCACCGUGAAGCAGCCAUCUCCCGAGAUGCCCCCAACUUGGCUCAAGUCUGUCAUCAUCCUCUGCUGCAUCGUGGGUGGUCUGCUUCUGUUCUUUGGCCUGCUUUGGUCCAUCCAGGAAAGGACAAAGAAGUCAAGCCAGGGGGACUUCUACCGACUCUCCAGAGACCUGUAUCGCCUUGCUGUGGAGUGCCCUGUGAAGGAGCCCUACAGGUCAGUGUUGGGCAGGGUGGGAACUUUGGGUGAUCCAUCAUAGCCAUGCUAGGCAGUAUUUGUUCAGAAAAUUCUCAUGAGAUUCCUCCACUGGACAAGGCCUUGCUCUGUACCCCUAGGAUGUGGGAACAGACAUGGCAGAGACAAAUGACAAACCAGAGUAGAGUCCAGACAUAGUCCUACAGAGAUGGAGAGAAAUCUGGGAAGCCUUGCAGGAGGAGGCAACAGCCAAGCUCACCAGAGAAGCACAGGGGCCAAGAACCCCAUAGGAAGGGUCCUUGAGAAACAAGAGGGCACGGUCAGGGCCAGGUAAGAGACUGAGUGCCUUUGGAUCUCUAGUGUCGUAGCCAGAACUUCCCUGUGGAAGAGGAAGCCAGGCACAGAGACCUUUAACUUGCCCAAGGAUACCCAAGGAUAUGUCAGAACUGGGACCUAAAAUUCCAGCCACUUUGCUGGGAACCAGUGCUCUCCAUAGCUAAUUGAUUCAUGAGAUACCAGGGACAUUGAGGUUGUUGAUAUGAGGGAGCAGCUCACAGUAGGUGCCCAGCACACAGUAGGCCUGUUGGAAGUGACAACUUCCCCUGACCUACAAAGGUGGGUGUAGGUGGGGUGAGGUGGGGGUUGGGUGAAGGUAGAAAGAAACGAUUGGAUCAAAACAGUUCUCAGCCUAUUUUUUCAUUGCCGUUAUCCCCCAGCCUUUGAAUGUGAACUUUGUGAUCCUCCUGUCCCAAGAGCUGGGAUUACAGGCACGCAUCUCCAUGACCAGCUUUUGAGCACAUCUUCUUGGAAUCUGAUCCCCAUAGAUGUGCUGUGGUCUGUAUGUGUUGUAUGUGUACAUUUGUGUUUCAUGUCUGGGGACCAAUCUUGCCCUGUAAAGAUUGGUCAUGCAUAUUCUCACCGAGUACUCAUUUAUUCUACAAAGCACCCCUUGGAUCUGGAGCCUGCAUGCAUUCUCCACCCUCUGCCUGCUUGUACCUUUAUGCCACCGGGAACCACCAUUGCUGUCUGUAGGAGGCUUUUUCUGUUACAUGCAGCUCACAUGGGUGAGCCUGUGGUCUGCAAGACUGUGUGACCUCUGCACUUCUGCUCCAUAAGGAGCUAACCUGUGCUCCUUGGAACUGGUUGGAGGUCUACCCGGAUGUUUUUCUUUCCUUUGUUGGUAGACAGUGUCUUCUGGAGUUUCUUGCUAUCAUCCCAUAGCUAUUUGAGACCAGAUACAACAUUCAACAGAUAAUACAUAUAGCCAGAUUUCAAGUGGGACAUGAUAGAGCACACCUGUAAUCCAGCACUUGGAAGACUGAGAUAGAACGAUCGAGUUCCAGGCCAGCCUGAGCUACAGAGCUGAACCUUUUAAGGUUUUAAGAGACCAUCAUUUGCUCUUCUCAGUGCAGGACCUCAGCACAGCGGAUGCUAUACCAAACGUGUGGGAUGAUGCACCCACACACCCUCCCAGAGCUUCGUCUCCUAGGUAACUCUAGAUCUUGCCAAUGCUGAAGCUCGACCAUCAUCCCUCUCUCUCCUCUAGUGUGCUGCUGGGCUCCUGAGAGAUGACCGUGGUGGGUGUGCAUUGCACACGGCUUGCAUCCUUAGCUUCCCCUGCUCUUCCUCAUUGCAGUCUUGGUCUUGAACAGGCUGAGCCUGGGCUGCUCACAGGGAGGAUGUAGGGAUUAGGCCUGUUUUACAGACGGGUAAAGUGUGGGGCAAGCAUGAGCUCUUCCGUUAGAGAAGAGGACUGUACAUUCAGCUGAUGUGCUUUCUACUCAUCCCUCUGUGAGGUGGGUGGGGCUUCCUCCUGCUCUACUGGGUUUGCUCUCUCAACAGAAAGCCACCUGGGUCAGCAUGGAGCCUGUCCCUUGCCCUUACAAGGCUAUCCUGAUCUCUGUGCAUGGCCACACCGCACAACCACAGAGAUCUGUGUUGAGAGUGUACUAGGUACCGCCCAUACACUAAGACAGGACCUUGCAAAGGCUCAAGUUCCCUGCGUUCUUGUAUUCUUGUACUCUUGUAACUUAACCUUGGACAGCUAAGUUUGAUGAGCUACUGAGGUGACAGGCGCUGGCUUCAGGGCUGCACACCUGCCCUAAGCAAACUUCCUGUUGUGGGCUGAGCUCCUGAGCCCUAGCCUGCUGGAUGCCACAUGCUGGGAUCUCUGCAUCUGAGCCCUUGGGGGGCGGGGCUCUCCACAAGGUUACUGCCUUUCCCCAUCCCAGGUCCCCAAGCUGGCUGCCACCCUCAUGGCAGGUCACCAGGAGGCAGGCUCACCCUCCUGGUCUCAGAGCAGCUCAGAGAGCAGUAUGGGGACUCCGUGGAAAACAAGAAGUGGGGACAGGUCAGAAGAUGUCCCAGGGGAGUUUCAAAGUGGGGAGUGGUGGCAGCAAGAAGUGCGGGAAGAGAGCAGAGGUGGAGAAGUAUGAGGAGGAGGGAGAGCUGAUGUUGGCAGCUGCUCCAGCAAGCUUCAUAAGGAGACUCCCCUGUCUCCCUGGCAUGCAGGAGAGUUUUGAGCUGGUCCUGCUAAACAGCCUCUUUCCUGUUCCCACAGGCCUCCUAAGGAGGCUGUCAUUUCCACUUAUGAGGAGACCAUGCACUAUCCACUGGCUGAGGGUCUCCUGCAAUUCCCUGUGCAGCCUGAAGAAGACCUCCAGUGCCAUGCCCCAGGGGAUGCCCUGCUGGGGUCAGCAUCCUUCUCACGCCCACCCAGCUACGAGAGCAUCCUCCUCGCUCAGGGGCCUGUUUCUGGAUUGAGUGCUGCAGGCUCCAGCCCUGUCUGAGCUCAGGCUGCAGGAGAGUUGCAGGUCUCCAGCAAGGCUGUGAAACUGGCCCCUAACCAGCGAGCUUUGCUCGAGGCCUCCACCAGGACUGGGUUCACAGCAGGCAUUCAACAAGAGGUCUAUUGCUGGGGGCUGUUUAUGCAUCCGUUGCUGUGUGAGCAUGAGUUGGCUUUAAAUAAACCCCACUUUAUUAUGUCUC